rnacentral:rRNA from 1 species
GUGACAGUAGCUAGUUGGUAAGGUAACGGCUUACCAAGGCUACGAUGUCUAGGGGUUCUGAGAGGAUGAUCCCCCACACUGGUACUGAGACACGGACCAGAUGAAUCUUCCGCAAUGGGCGAAAGCCUGACGGAGCAACGCCGCGUGAGCGAAGAAGGUCUUCGGAUUGUAAAGCUCUGUGAUAUUGGACGAACAAUUUCCCGUAAAUAAUGGGAAGGAAUGACGGUACAAUAAGAGGAAGCCACGGCUAACUACGUGCCAGCAGCCGCGGUAAUACGUAGGUGGCAAACGUUGUCCGGAAUUACUGGGCGUAAAGGGCGAGUAGGUGGUUAUUAAGUCAAGAGUGAAAACUCCAGGCUCAACUUGGAGACUGCUCUACGAAACUGGUAGACUUGAGUGCAAGAGAGGGAAGUGGAAUUCCUAGUGUAGCGGUGAAAUGCGUAGAUAUUAGGAGGAACACCAGUGGCGAAGGCGACUUCCUGGCUUGUAACUGACACUGAGGCGCGAAAGCGUGGGGAUCAAACAGGAUUAGAUACCCUGGUAGUCCACGCCGUAAACGAUGAGUGCUAGGUGUCGGGGGUAUCGACCCCCUCGGCUAACGCAAUAAGCACUCCGCCUGGGGAGUACGGUCGCAAGACUGAAACUCAAAGGAAUUGACGGGGGCCCGCACAAGCGGUGGAGUAUGUGGUUUAAUUCGACGCAACGCGAAGAACCUUACCAAGGCUUGACAUCCUGUGACAGCUAUAGAAAUAUAGACUUCUUAGUUUACUAAGACACAGAGACAGGUGGUGCAUGGUUGUCGUCAGCUCGUGUCGUGAGAUGUUGGGUUAAGUCCCGCAACGAGCGCAACCCCUACAGCUAGUUGCCAGCACAUAAAGGUGGGAACUCUAGCAGAACUGCCGUUGACAAAACGGAGGAAGGUGGGGAUGACGUCAAAUCAUCAUGCCCCUUAUGUCUUGGGCUACACACGUGCUACAAUGGCUGAAACAAAGGGAUGCAACAACGUAAGUUGAAGCGGAUCUCACAAAAACAGUCCCAGUUCGGAUUGUGGGCUGCAACCCGCCCACAUGAAGUCGGAGUUGCUAGUAAUCGCGGAUCAGCAUGCCGCGGUGAAUACGUUCCCGGGCCUUGUACACACCGCCCGUCACACCAUGGGAGUUGGGAGCGCCCGAAGCCGGUAUUCUAACCGUAAGGAGGAAGCCGUCUAAGGCGAGACCAAUGACUGGGGUGAAGUCGUAACAAGGUAACCA